CAGUAGCCGCGGGAAUACGUAGGGUGCGAGCGUUAAUCGGAAUUACUGGGCGUAAAGCGUGCGCAGGCGGUUGUGUAAGACAGGUGUGAAAUCCCCGGGCUUAACCUGGGAACUGCGCUCGUGACUGCACAGCUAGAGUAUGGCAGAGGGGGGUGGAAUUCCACGUGUAGCAGUGAAAUGCGUAGAGAUGUGGAGGAACACCGAUGGCGAAGGCAGCCCCCUGGGCCAAUACUGACGCUCAUGCACGAAAGCGUGGGGAGCAAACAGGAUUAGAUACCCGCGUAGUCCCUGUCUCUUAUAC
rnacentral:rRNA from 1 species